GUGAGGGCGAUCUGGCUGCGACAUCUGUCACCCCAUUGAUCACCAGGGUUGAUUCGGCUGAUCUGGCUGGCUAGGCAGGUGUCUCCUUCCUCCCUCACGGCUCCAUGUGCAUCCCUCCCGAAGCUGCGCGCUUGGUCCAAGAGGACGGCCUUCCCCGAAUAGAGACGGACAGGUCUUCGGUCGAGGGUAUAGGAGCAGCUGCGCUCCCCUGCUAGAACCUCCAAACAAGCUCUCCAUUAACUAUAAACUUAUAAUACAGAAACAAGAUAAUCAGCAGUAAAAGUAUGAUAAAAUAAUAUUUAUAAAAAAGAGUAGACUAU
rnacentral:snRNA from 1 species